UGGAUGUGUGCGUUUAAAUAUAAAAAUAUCACGUGUACACUCGCCGCUGUUAACCAUUCAUUCGUCUAGCCUUAACCUCAUCGCAUGUCGAUUGUUUACCUCUUUAUACAAACACGUAUACGUGUAUUAUCUAAGAAAGUGUGUAGCUUUUCCUGCAGUAGUGGUGUAGGUUGUUCCCUGACACUGACGUUGGUGGUGUGCGCGGGAGGUUCGAUGUAUUUUCAGAGAUGUAACAACCCAGCGUCGUUUUUGUGUGGACUGUCGCCGAGUGAAAGUUGUUCUUAUUGACUUGACAUUAAAGGUGUGUUUGUUUGCCCUUGUGUUAUUGGCAGUACAUCAUAAAUGCGAGGAAUCGUUCGCCGCUUCCGUGAUUUGUGUUUACUGUGGAUGUUUAUAAAAAAAUAAAAUGCCGUUCACCCUGAAAGAAGGUGGUUUCGGCGUGGGCGACUAUGUGGCGUUCGGCGUGCUGUGUACCGCGUCCUGUGCAGGCGGGAUAUGGUACAGCGCGGUCGGCUCCCGAAGCAAAGCCGUAGUGGACAUCAAAGACUACCUGCUGGGCGGUAGAGCCAUGUCUACCUUCCCCGUCGCCAUGUCCUUGAUAGCUAGCUACGUAUCGGGCGUGACGAUCCUGGGCACGCCGGCGGAGAUCUACAACUACGGGUCGCAGUACUGGCUGGUGGUGGUGGGGGUGGCGCUCAGCUGCGUCAUCGUCGCCACCGUCUACCUGCCCGUCUUCUGCACGCUCCGGCUCUCGUCGUCUUAUGAGUACUUGGAACUGCGGUUCAAUCGUCAUGUUCGAGCGGUCGCAUCAGUAUUAUUUCUUUUGGACGAAGUGCUCUUUCUACCGAUGGUUGUGUAUGUACCGGCGCUAGCAUUUAAUCAGUUGACUGGUUUUAAUGUGUUCGCUGUUGGCGGGAUAAUGGUGGCGAUCUGUGGACUGUAUACAGUAUUAGGUGGGUUGAAGGCGGUAGUGUGGACGGACUCUGUCCAGACCGGCAUCAUGUUUAUCGGCGUGCUGCUGGUGGCGGCCGCGGGAACCCUGGCUGCUGGCGGCGUGGGUGCCGUCAUCGACACCGCUAGUGCGUCGGGGAGACUCGACGUUUCUAACUGGAACCUAUCCCCGUACGAGCGUCAGACGGGCUGGGGCGCGGUGGUGGGCGGGACGCUGUACUGGACCUGCUUCAACUCCGUCAACCAGACCAUGGUGCAGCGGUACAUCGCACUGCCCAGCAAACGCAAAGCUAUCAUAGCUCUGGCGAUAUUCUGCGCGGGCGCGAUGCUGGCGAUAUCGCUGUGCGUGUGGUGCGGCCUCGCGGCGUGGACGGCCUGGGUGCAGGGAGGCUGCGAGGAGGCCGGCCUGCCCAUCGUCGACGACCGCCUGCUGCCUGCCUUCGUGACGUAUGUGGCCCAGGUGCAGCACCUCCCCGGACUCGCGGGCGUGUUCCUGGCGGGGGUGUUUGGUGCUGGGUUGAGUUCGUUGUCAGCUGUGCUGAACGCGUGCGCGCUGGUGGCGGUGGAGGACAUAAUGCACGGCUGGCUGCGGCUGCGCCUGCGCCCGCUGACCGACGGCGUCAUCGCCCGCCUCGUCACCGCCACGCUCGCCAUCGUCUCGCUGCUCAUGCUGAUUGUUAUUGCCAAGCUUGGUGGUGUUUUAGGUGUGGCGACAGCUUUAUCAGCGAUCGCGGCUAGUGCCACGUGCGGUAUCUUCACCCUCGGCAUGUGCUGCUGGUGGGUGGGGCCUCGUGGGGCCCUGAUCGGUGGGGCCGCAGGGGCACUCGUAGCGGGGGCCACGUCGCUGGGCAGCCAGGCCGCCGCCGCCGCAGGCUUGAGGGCCCCCGCCCUGGCUGUGUCUGCUGUUUGCGUCCUCAAUGAAACUAUGAGUACUGCUCACACGCCGACUUUGGAUCCUACAACAGUGUUUCCACUGUUCCGCGUAUCGUAUCACUGGAUCGCUCCGCUUGGUCUAGCCACGACACUAGCAGUGGGUGCUAUAGCGGGCUGGGCGCUGGACGGGAAGGAACAGCUGCGGUUGGACGCGGAGCUGUUCACGCCGGCGGUGUGGGGCUGCCUGCCGCGAGCAGCACACGACUGCCGCGGCGACACGCGGCGCGCGGCUGCGGCCAAGCGACUGGAGCGACCAGCGCCUUCCUCGCCGCUUAUGCUUGCGGCUGUUGAUAAGAUCGAAUUGAGCGGUGAAUCGAGUUGAUGGGAUGUGGGAUGAUCAUGUAAGGCGUAGGCGAAUUGAUUACUUGUGUCAUAGACUCAUAUGAAUAUUGCCAAUGUAAAUAAUACUUAAGUUAAUUUAUUUAUAAGUUGUAAAGGUCGUAUAGUGAGUUCGUAGAGUGGGCAGGUCGCACCGCGGCGGACCGUUGGCGUUGGGGUCAAUUCAGAUUUCAGACAGCAACGCGAAUUGCUAAAUUAUAUU